UCUACAAUCUCAUUUUCCUUAAUACCUUAAAUACACAAUUUUCACUUUCUUGCUUAUUUAGGAGCUUGCAAGAUUCGGAAGCAGAUUGCUGAGUAUGGCUACCCAGCUUUAAAACUACCGAGGAAACUAUGAAAGAGUCUUACUCUUUCUCCAUUCAGGAAGACUGGAAAUCAAGAGCAAAUGUUUCUGUUACCAGAAGAGACGGGCAGAAUUUACUCAAAGAUGUUACCUCCUGCUUUGUUUCUCCUGCAAAAGAGCACAGCAGAGAGAUCAUAAACCCCACUGGUUCUGCAGAGUUUCAGAUGUCCUGA
rnacentral:lncRNA from 1 species